UAAGGAAUAUUGGACAAUGGGCGCAAGCCUGAUCCAGCCAUGCCGCGUGAGUGACGAAGGUCUUCGGAUUGUAAAGCUCUUUUGGCGGGGACGAUAAUGACGGUACCCGCAGAAUAAGCCCCGGCUAACUUCGUGCCAGCAGCCGCGGUAAUACGAAGGGGGCUAGCGUUGUUCGGAAUUACUGGGCGUAAAGCGCACGUAGGCGGACUGAUAAGUCAGGGGUGAAAUCCCGGGGCUCAACCUCGGAACUGCCUUUGAUACUGUUAGUCUCGAGUCCGGAAGAGGUGAGUGGAAUUCCUAGUGUAGAGGUGAAAUUCGUAGAUAUUAGGAAGAACACCAGUGGCGAAGGCGGCUCACUGGUCCGGUACUGACGCUGAGGUGCGAAAGCGUGGGAAGCAAACAGGAUUAGAUACCCCCGUAGUCCCUGAGCGGGCUGGCAAGGCGCAU
rnacentral:rRNA from 1 species